rnacentral:lncRNA from 1 species
GUGGCCAGUAGUAGUACCAACAGGUAAUCGACAUGUUCACCAUCAGUAGUACCAAGAAAACCAAUUCAAAAUUACACCAAGAAAAUCAGUAAUACAAUAAACAUGCAGUCAACAUUUUCACCAAAUUAAUUACCAAAACAUAUAUUAUCACUAAAUAUAUUUGUAUUUCGAUUGUCAAAACCCUAAAAAAAAAUGAAUUAAUUAAAAUAUAUAUGAACAUGGAUUUGGUGAAUAACAAAAACAUAUAUUACAC